GGAGAGUUUGAUCAUGGCUCAGAUUGAACGCUGGCGGCAGGCCUAACACAUGCAAGUCGAACGGUAACAUUUCUAGCUUGCUAGAAGAUGACGAGUGGCGGACGGGUGAGUAAUGCUUGGGAACUUGCCUUUGCGAGGGGGAUAACAGUUGGAAACGACUGCUAAUACCGCAUAAUGUCUUCGGACCAAACGGGGCUUCGGCUCCGGCGCAAAGAGAGGCCCAAGUGAGAUUAGCUAGUUGGUAAGGUAACGGCUUACCAAGGCGACGAUCUCUAGCUGUUCUGAGAGGAAGAUCAGCCACACUGGGACUGAGACACGGCCCAGACUCCUACGGGAGGCAGCAGUGGGGAAUAUUGCACAAUGGGGGAAACCCUGAUGCAGCCAUGCCGCGUGUGUGAAGAAGGCCUUCGGGUUGUAAAGCACUUUCAGUUGUGAGGAAAAGUUAGUAGUUAAUACCUGCUAGCCGUGACGUUAACAACAGAAGAAGCACCGGCUAACUCCGUGCCAGCAGCCGCGGUAAUACGGAGGGUGCGAGCGUUAAUCGGAAUUACUGGGCGUAAAGCGCACGCAGGCGGUUUGUUAAGCUAGAUGUGAAAGCCCCGGGCUCAACCUGGGAUGGUCAUUUAGAACUGGCAGACUAGAGUCUUGGAGAGGGGAGUGGAAUUCCAGGUGUAGCGGUGAAAUGCGUAGAUAUCUGGAGGAACAUCAGUGGCGAAGGCGACUCCCUGGCCAAAGACUGACGCUCAUGUGCGAAAGUGUGGGUAGCGAACAGGAUUAGAUACCCUGG
rnacentral:rRNA from 1 species